UACAGAGGGUGCAAGCGUUGUUCGGAAUCAUUGGGCGUAAAGGGCGUGUAGGCGGUCUGUUAAGUCAUGUGUGAAAUCCCUCGGCUCAACCGGGGAACGACGCAUGAAACUGACAAGCUAGAGUACCAAAGAGGGGGGUGGAAUUCCCGGUGUAGCAGUGGAAAUGCGUAGAUAUCGUAAGGAAGACCAGUGGCGAAGGCGGGUCUCUGGACAGUUCCUGACACUGAGACACGAAGGCCAGGGGAGCAAACGGG
rnacentral:rRNA from 1 species